AUUUGUUAAGUGCUUACUAUGUGCAGAGCACUGUUCUAAGCAAUGGGGGAGAUACAGGGCGAUCAGGUUGUCCCACGUGGGGCUCACAGUUUUAAUCCCCAUUUUACAGAUGAGGUAACUGAGGCCCAGAGAAGUUAAGUGACUUGCCCACAGUCACAGAGCUGACAAGUGGCAGAUCUGGGAUUCGAACCCAUGACCUCUAACUCCCAAGCCCAGGUUCUUUCCACUGAGCCAUGCUGCUUCUCUACUACAAAAAGAACCCUUUGGCCUCAGUCACCAGGCUAUAUCAGAUGAAAGUGUAUUUCAGUGGCCUGAAUUACCCAGAUAGUUUGCGUGUAUAAAUCCAACGAUGAUCUCAGAGAAAUCAAAGGAGGUUAACACUGCCCCAAGCGAGUCAGAAUGGCCUAAAUGACUGCAUAAUUGAAAAACGGCUUUUUUCCCUUUUAGAAUCUUUGACCCCUGAGACUCAUUCCUAACCACCAAGUUCCUCUUCAAUGUCUCUCCCUUCUUCUUGCCAGACUCCCAGAUGAAUUCCGUGUCCCUCGUCCAGCAGACUUACCCUUCUCUCUUCCUCUGGCAGGUGGCAGAGAGUUCCUGGAAAUGAAAUCUUCUGGAGAGAAGCAGAUACCCACAAAAUGAAGCUCCUUCUUUGGGCCUGCCUCAUGUGCAUUGUUUUGGCCAAGAAGAGGCAACAUUCUUCCUCCAGUGAAGAGGACCAUGACCACAGACCACCACCACCAGCGAGGCCUUCUGGAUCGGAUCAUGAACCCCCCUUCCAUCCUAGGGCCCCCUGUCCAGCGGUUCCCCCUCCACCUCCACCAGCCCCUGGCCCUCCGGCACCCCCUGCCCCUCCAGCACCCCCUGCCAUCCCAGAACCCGUGGCUCCCCCUGCCCCUCCAGCUCCCCCUGCCCCUCCAGCACCCCCUGCCAUCCCAGAACCCGUGGCACCCCCUGCCCCUCCAGCUCCCCCUGCCAUGCCAAGACCUGGGGAACCCCCUGCCCCUCGAGCCCCUGAAAUGCUUCUUGCUAAUCCAGCCCCAGAAGCUCUCACGGUGGAGUAGUGUCAUUACCAUGGCUGAAUAAAGCUGGAAAACCUGAUUUUUCAUUCAGAUUUUACACUUUGGUGGCUUUUGAGUAAAUCCCCUCUGCGUAUGCACUCUGGCUUUGGGUGUCUGUUUUCCCACACAGGGAUCCCUGGUUGGAGAGAAGAUUUGAAUUUCACAAGCCCAGAGAAGAAAAAAUAUAUAUAAAUGUGGACAAGGAUUCUGCAGAUUUUCUGUUCCACAUCUCUUCCUUCUGGCAAAAAUGUGCCUAAAGCCUUUGGAAGCAGCUGAUCUCAGGCUAGGACUCAGAAGCAAACCACCUUCCCAGGGAACCCUACUUCCCUUAAAUCAUUUCCUCAACUUAUUCUCCUUUUUUCAUCACUUAAUUAUCAUACAGAAAGGAGUUGGCAUCCUGCAAUUACUGAGCCAACAGUUGAGAUCAGCUGCUAUUCCAAUAUGAAGUAUGAGAAAACCAAACUCGGCAAUCCAUCAGAGUUGCAAAAAGCCAUAGCUUGGAUCAUGAUGGGCAUUUUCCAAAAUACUGAGUUAUACUUUCAGUGAAAAGAAGACACUGAGCUGUUGACAUGGUAAAAAAAAACAUAGAAGUAUUGAUGAUGUAGGCUAGAAAUAUACUUCUAGGCUUUAAAAAUAUGUAUAAGAGAGACUUGAGAAAUAAAAAGCUG
rnacentral:lncRNA from 1 species